rfam:Pelosinus sp. TFO1, complete genome.
UAGGUGGUAUCGUAAUGAACCAUACUAUAAAAAAGGAAUCUUCAGCUGUGAAGGAUCAAUAUAGCUAUAUGUUAAUACUGGUAUUAUAUCCGCUUAGAUCUAUGAUGGACUGAGACGGGAGG